CCUACGGGUGGCAGCAGUGAGGAAUAUUGGUCAAUGGGCGGGAGCCUGAACCAGCCAAGCCGCGUGAGGGAAGAAGGUACAGCGGAUCGUAAACCUCUUUUGUCAGGGAACAAAGGCGGGGACGAGUCCCCGGAUGAGGGUACCUGAAGAAAAAGCAUCGGCUAACUCCGUGCCAGCAGCCGCGGUAAUACGGAGGAGGCGAGCGUUAUCCGGAUUUCUUGGGUUUAAAGGGGGCGCAGGCGGCCUGUUAAGUCAGCGGGAAAAGCCCGGGGCUCACCCCCGGCGAGCCGUUGAAACUGGCGUGCUGGAGUUGGCGCGAAGUACGCGGUAUGCGCGGUGUAGCGGUGACAUGCUUAGAUAUCGCGCAGAACCCCGAUUGCGACGGCAGCGUACCGGCUCCACCCUGACGCUGAGGCACGAAAGCGUGGGUAUCGCACAGGAUUAGCUACCCGAGUAGUC
rnacentral:rRNA from 1 species